CCAGGACUGGCCGCAUUUCACAGAACACCAGGAGGGAAGCCAGCUCAAUGUCUUCACUGUACCCAUUCUUCAGAGGAACUGAUCUAAAUCCUGCAGCAGAACAGAAAAACAAUACAAAGGUCAAGCUGUCUGUCACCAACCCAGAGCCUACUAGAUGAAUGCCCACUCUGAGGUGUGCCUAUUGUACCCCCUUCAUUUUGUCACUCAAUGAAUGGACCUCCAACAGGCAUCCUGGUUGUACCCUGACAGCCAUAUCACACCUGUGGCCCCAGCAGGCUCUGCCUCAAUAGUCUGACUACAACCAGCACCCCCUUACCUGCCGUCUGGAAGUUGAGUGCCACCAUCUGGGAGCCGCAGAGCCAGAGACGGAAGGGGUCGUAGUUGGAGGAGUCAACUCGCUGUCCCUUUGGGUAGACACGCGUCAGGCCCUUCUGGUUGUACUUCAGGAGGUCGAUGGGUUUCUGUCUGGUGACACUGUCAGCCUUUGUCUCCACAAAGGAGCGGAUUUCUCGGAAGUCAGGAUUUUCUGUACAGGAGGAGAAGGAAUUGUUAUUUAUUUUGUAUCUCUUAUUGCCUCCUACAGAGCUAGACACACAGAUUGUAAGUUGAAGCUGGGUCAGAUUCUCUUGGACAAGACAUUCAAAUGUAUUUGAUAAUACUGCCUAAACCAGCAUUGCUCCAAGCUCUUCCCCCAGGAUCUCAAGUAUUAAACAUAAGCUAGUGUUCCCAUUGA